AUGAGAACUUGCCCUUCGGGGUAGAUCUCCCACCCUCUGUUUACAUACUUUGUUGCUUUGGCAGGCGGACCGCUGGCUUCGGCUGGCCCGUGCCUGCCAGAGGAUUCAAAACUCUGAUAAUUAUGUCGUCUGAGUACUAUUAUAAAUAGUUA
rnacentral:misc_RNA from 1 species